UGAAAAAGCAGAAUAAACAGGGGUUAUACACAGCCGGAGUUUGGCUUUCGGAAGCAAAAAAGAGAAUGGGACGCGCCGAAAAAGAGAUUAAAUUUAACAAGGUUCGAGAGACACUACCCACCGUUCCCGCAGAUAGAGAAGUUAACCAAUUGGGUGGGCGUGAGGGUAACAAACUAUAUCUUCCUCGAUUAUACCAACAAUGCAGAGAUAAUCCAGUCGACGAAUUUGUGAUUAUAAGAAUACGGCUGCUGGAGCAACCCAAGUCGAGAAAAAUGAACAAGAGUUUAUGCACUACAGGUGAACUACAGGUGAAGACACUCAAUCCAGUCCCGUGGGCCACCCGGAUUCAUAUCGCACUGCGGGGGGGUAAGAUACAUAUUGCACUAUCGAACAAAUAAACAGUGUUCGAGAGGAGAACUGGAAUUAACAGAAUUCUGGGGGCCAUCUCUCGAAUGAAGUAACCCUCCCUGUCCUGUCACCCCUGUUUUUGUUCAUAGAAGUGAAGAUGUGUCUGGCUCUUGCUAAGUGAUGUGUUCUCGGGGAAAGGGUGGGGUUUCACAUGGAAGCUGUUCGUCUGAGCUGUCUUAUCGUGGGUGACAUAUUCCUGAUACAGCACGUCCUACUAGAUAUGCGGAGAGUGGUAAUUUGACCCAUGGUUUAGACGGUGAGGAUUUUGUUCCAAAAUAGAAGAGAUAUCAGUGCAGGUUCCCAUAUUGAUCGUGGACACAGGUCAUAGCUCACACUGAAAGGGAUGGCUACGUAAACCCAUACACUCAAUUUGGGACCAGGUGGAGUAUAGUAAGGGUUGGCGUUUUGGACUGUGUUCCCGAACAGAGGAAGUAUUGUAUAAAGGUGCGAAUUAAUAAAGGUUGUAAAAAGAAAAAAAAUCCUGAAAGAAGAGUUAUGAUUCUGAUGUAGGUUUAAAAACAGUUGGGAGUUAAGGUUAGAUUUGAUUAAUGAUGGGUGAAGAGUCGGGUAAACAUUUAUAAUAAUAUUUUUGUUUUGUAGAUUUGAAUGUAUAAUAUUUGAUCAAAGGGAGGAUUGAUAGAGGAAAAUAUGGUUGAAAUGACUAAUUAUGUAUACAUUCCAAUCAGAAACUGACUAGUCCAAAUGCUAUAAUGUACUGUACAUGUGAGUUUUCUCUCUUGCUCCCUUUCCCAAUUGUAUAUAAUGUAGUCAGGAGUUAGUAACAAUGAAGGUCUGUUCCUUAGUUCAUUCAGUUGUACAAAUCUCCAGGUGGUGGGACGGGCCAUCUCCAGAUUGUCGGGAAUGUUGAUUUAUGCUGACUGGCCUUGACUUCGUGCUGAUAACGCGAAGGCUCGAGAGCUAGAGGGGCCCUCUGUUUGUGAAAUGGAACGUUUGGAAAACGCUGACGUCAUUUUCAGUUUAUAACCUGUGGAAAUGUGUGUAAGCAUUCAGUACUCUCUUGUAAUAAACGCUGUUACUUUUGGCUUUUAA